rnacentral:rRNA from 1 species
UACGUAGGGUGCAAGCGUUAAUCGGAAUUACUGGGCGUAAAGCGUGCGCAGGCGGUUUUGUAAGUCAGAUGUGAAAUCCCCGGGCUUUACCUGGGAACUGCGUUUGGAACUACAAGGCUAGAGUGUGGCAGAGGGGGGUGGAAUUCCACGUGUAGCAGUGAAAUGCGUAGAGAUGUGGAGGAACACCGAUGGCGAAGGCAGCCCCCUGGGUCAAGAUUGACGCUCAUGCACGAAAGCGUGGGGAGCAAACAGG